rnacentral:ncRNA from 1 species
AUAGAAAAUGCCAAACCUGUUGGAAAGCAGGGACGGAAAACUGCGGGUCUUUAGAGAUAGCCGAGUUGCCUAAU